UGCUAUUGAAGUUACGUCAGAUGAACAUCCAAGGCAGUUUCUCAGUAUGCCAGAAGAAGCCCAGCAGAUGGUUUUUUAACCUGAGGCACACCUUGCAGUUUGGCAUUGGAUUACACCAUGCCGGUCUGAAUGACAAAGAUAGAUCUCUGGUUGAGGAACAAGAUUCAGGCAUUUCUGUUUUACCUCAGUAUUGAUUUGUACAAGCACAUUGGCAUGGGGUGUAAACCUUCCAGGUCAUCAUCUGGUCAUUAUUAAGGAGUAUAUUGCAGCAGCUGUUCUUCAGGACAAAUUUACGUAAGUGUUGAUUCUCUUGCCGUCGCAGGGAACAGAAUAUUAUGAUGGGAAAACAACGAGAUAUGUUGAUUUAUCAAUAUCAAUCACAG